GGGUUGCACCAGAAGUAGAUAGCUUAACCUUCGGGAGGGCGUUUACCACGGUGUGAUUCAUGACUGGGGUGAAGUCGUAACAAGGUAACCGUAGGGGAACCUGCGGUUGGAUCACCUCCUUACGAAG
rnacentral:rRNA from 1 species